AUUGAACGCUGGCGGCAGGCCUUACACAUGCAAGUCGAACGAGUGGCGGACGGGUGAGUAAUGUCUGGGAACCUGCCCGAUGGCGGGGGAUAACUACUGGAAACGGUAGCUAAUACCGCAUACCAUCGGAUGUGCCCAUAUGGGAUUAGCUAGUUGGUGGGGUAAAGGCUAACCCAGGCCACGAUCCCUAGCUGGUCUGAGAGGAUGACCAGCCACACUGGAACUGAGACACGGUCCAGACUCCUACGGGAGGCAGCAGUGGGGAAUAUUGCACAAUGGGGGCAAGCCUGAUGCAGCCAUGCCGCGUGUAUGAUGAAGGCCUUCGGGUUGUAAAGUACUUUCAGCGGGGAAGCGUUACUCGCAGAAGAAGCACCGGCUAACUCCGUGCCAGCAGCCGGGGUAAUAC
rnacentral:rRNA from 1 species